rnacentral:SRP_RNA from 1 species
GCUGGGUGUGGUGGCACACACCUGUGGUCCCAGCUACUCAGGAGGCUGAGACAGGAGGAUCACUUGAGCCCAGGAAUUUGAGGUUGCUGUGAGUUAUGAUGGUGCCACUGCAUUCUGGCCUGGGUGACAGAGUGAGAUCCUGUCUCAA